CCUUUAUAAGGCUCCUGAUGCUGGCCUGCCUCAGUUUGCAAGAGGAUAGGAGACAGAGCGUGGCCCGCCGUGGGUCCAGUGUUCUGGGCUCUCCGUCGCACACAGUGAGCCCCCUUCAGGGCGGACCACCACAACCUGGGACCCGUCGACACGGUGAACACCCUGAGGAAGGGUCACUCCGAGCAGAGUGGCCGGCUGUGAUCUGUGGCUGUCUGCCCCCUCCCCACUCGCCACUACUGAGGAGAAGGCAGCACCAACUCUGGAAUAGUCUGAAGCUGUGAGGCCGUCCAGGGCAGAGCUGCUGUGACGUUAUGCCUGGGUGACACUGGGAGCCCCGAGGGCAGGGCCGCCGUAGCAUUGGACCCGUCGGAUACACUUAGUUUUUCCAACCCCGCCACCCAGGUCAGGGCCCCAAAAAUGUUCUGCCCAUGUGAUACUGUGAGCCCAUCCAGAGCAGAGCAGAGCCGCUGUGACGUUGUAACCGGGUGAUACUGUGAGCCCUCAAGGGCAGGGCCGCUGCAACGUUGGACCCGUCGGAUACUGUGAGUCCCCCCUCCCCGCCACCCCCGAGGGCAGGUCCCCAAAAAUGUUCCGCCCGUGUGACACUGAGCUUAUCCAAAGCAGAGCCGCCAUGACGUUAUGCCCAUGUGACACUGUGAGCCCUCAAGGGCAGGGUCGCUGCAAUGCUGGACCCGUCGGAUACUGUGAGUUCCCCCCACUUAGGGCAGGGCCCCAUAGAUAUUCUGCCCAUGUGACACUGUGAGCCCUCGAGGGCAGGGCCACUGCAACGUUGGACCCUUUGGAUACUGUGAGUCUCUCCCCCUCUUAGGGCAGACCAAAAAAUGUUCUAUCCAUGUGACACUGUGAGCCCAUCUAGAGCAGAGCCGCCGUGACGUCGUAUCUGUGUGACACUGAGCUCUCAAGGGCAGGGCCAUAUCAAUGUUGUGCCGGUGUAACACUGUAAGCCUUUAGGAUCUGGAUGCUUGGAAGAAGAUUAAAAAUAUGGGUCGUGGCAAAAGGGGA